UACGUAGGGGGCUAGCGUUGUCCGGAAUCAUUGGGCGUAAAGAGCGUGUAGGCGGCUUGGUAGGUCCGCUGUGAAAACUCGAGGCUCAACCUCGAGAUGUCGGCGGAAACCACUUGGCUAGAGUCCGGAAGAGGAGAGUGGAAUUCCUGGUGUAGCGGUGAAAUGCGCAGAUAUCAGGAAGAACACCUAUGGCGAAGGCAGCUCUCUGGGACGGUACUGACGCUGAGACGCGAAAGCUAGGGGAGCGAAUGGG
rnacentral:rRNA from 1 species